rnacentral:SRP_RNA from 1 species
UGACCGGGCCCGGUGACCGGAGACCGUGAACUCCGCCAGGGCCGGAAGGCAGCAACGGUAGCGGCACCCCCGGGGUGCUGGGUCCGGUCAUCG